AACGAACGCUGGCGGCAUGCCUAACACAUGCAAGUCGAACGAGACCUUCGGGUCUAGUGGCGCACGGGUGCGUAACGCGUGGGAAUCUGCCCUUGGGUUCGGAAUAACAGUUGGAAACGACUGCUAAUACCGGAUGAUGACGUAAGUCCAAAGAUUUAUCGCCCAGGGAUGAGCCCGCGUAGGAUUAGCUAGUUGGUGGGGUAAAGGCCUACCAAGGCGUCGAUCCUUAGCUGGUCUGAGAGGAUGAUCAGCCACACUGGGACUGAGACACGGCCCAGACUCCUACGGGAGGCGGCAGUGGGGAAUAUUGGAAAAUGGGCGGAAGCCUGAUCCAGCAAUGCCGCGUGAGUGAUGAAGGCCUUAGAGUUGUAAAGCUCUUUUACCCGGGAUGAUAAUGACAGUACCGGGAGAAUAAGCCCCGGCUAACUCCGUG
rnacentral:rRNA from 1 species